rnacentral:rRNA from 1 species
AGUGAACGCUGGCGGUAGGCCUAACACAUGCAAGUCGAACGGCAGCACAGUAAGAGCUUGCUCUUACGGGUGGCGAGUGGCGGACGGGUGAGGAAUACAUCGGAAUCUACUUUUUCGUGGGGGAUAACGUAGGGAAACUUACGCUAAUACCGCAUACGACCUACGGGUGAAAGCAGGGGAUCUUCGGACCUUGCGCGAUUGAAUGAGCCGAUGUCGGAUUAGCUAGUUGGCGGGGUAAAGGCCCACCAAGGCGACGAUCCGUAGCUGGUCUGAGAGGAUGAUCAGCCACACUGGAACUGAGACACGGUCCAGACUCCUACGGGAGGCAGCAGUGGGGAAUAUUGGACAAAGGGCGCAAGCCUGAUCCAGCCAUACCGCGUGGGUGAAGAAGUCCUUCGGGUUGUAAAGCCCUUUUGUUGGGAAAGAAAAGCAGCAGGUUAAUACCCCGCUGUUCUGACGGUACCCAAAGAAUAAGCACCGGCUAACUUCGUG